rnacentral:rRNA from 1 species
UAGUCUGCAACUCGACUACAUGAAGCUGGAAUCGCUAGUAAUCGCGGAUCAGAAUGCCGCGGUGAAUACGUUCCCGGGUCUUGUACACACCGCCCGUCACACCAUGGGAGUCGGAAAUGCCCGAAGUCUGUGACCGAACCGAAAGGAAGGAGCAGCCGAAGGCAGGUCGGAUGACUGGGGUGAAGUCGUAACAAGGUACC